rnacentral:rRNA from 1 species
GGCGAACGCUGGCGGCAGGCUUAACACAUGCAAGUCGAGCGGGCAUAGCAAUAUGUCCGCGGCAGACGGGUGCGUAACGCGUGGGAACGUACCUUUUGGUUCGGAACAACUGAGGGAAACUUCAGCUAAUACCGGAUAAGCCCUUACGGGGAAAGAUUUAUCGCCGAAAGAUCGGCCCGCGUCUGAUUAGCUAGUUGGUGAGGUAAUGGCUCACCAAGGCGACGAUCAGUAGCUGGUCUGAGAGGAUGAUCAGCCACAUUGGGACUGAGACACGGCCCAAACUCCUACGGGAGGCAGCAGUGGGGAAUAUUGGACAAUGGGCGCAAGCCUGAUCCAGCCAUGCCGCGUGAGUGAUGAAGGCCCUAGGGUUGUAAAGCUCUUUUGUGCGGGAAGAUAAUGACGGUACCGCAAGAAUAAGCCCCGGCUAACUUCGUG